AUGCAGCACCUGGACCGGGGAUUCAGCCCUCCCGGAUCAAAGUUUUUCCGGGAUGUCCUUCCUAGCUUUCAACUCCAUCCACAGGAUAUUGGACCGAAUUCCGUGUCCAACAUAUGCAAUUUUCAAGUAUUCUGUGAAGUUUACCUUCAAGAAGAACCAUCUGUUGAGCUCUUCUGGGAUUUUUUCCAUCUAAACUGCCGAACUGAGUUCUCUGACGGUCCCAACACUGAACUUGGUGGGGUGUCAAUCCAGAAGAGGAAAGAAGUUGAUUUCACUCAUGCAAAACACCACAGCCAUCCCAAAGAUUGGAACCAAACAUGGUUUUAUUGUCAGAACACUGCCCCUGCUGGAGAAAAUCCUUUGCCGGGUUACCGCGCUCACCGGCUUAGCAAUGGCCACCCGUUACCGCAACGAAUAACUGCCAAAGAAACGACAAGCUUAUGCACCUCAACUCGCUAA
rnacentral:rRNA from 1 species